rnacentral:rRNA from 1 species
GUACGGGAGGCAGCAGUAGGGAAUAUUGCAAAAUGGGCGAAAGCCUGAUGCAGCAACGCCGCGUGUGCGAUGAAGGCCUUCGGGUCGUAAAGCACUUUUCGGUGGGAUGAGGAAGGACAGUACCACCGGAAUAAGCCUCGGCUAACUACGUGCCAGCAGCCGCGGUAAAACGUAGGAGGCGAGCGUUAUCCGGAUUUACUGGGUGUAAAGCGCGUGCAGGCGGAGCGGAAAGUUGGAUGUAAAAGCUCCCGGCUUAACUGGGAGAGGUCGUUCAAAACUACCGAUCUAGAGUACAGUAGAGGGAAGUGGAAUUCCGGGUGUAGUGGUGAAAUGCGUAGAUAUCCGGAGGAACACCAGUGGCGAAAGCGGCUUUCUGGACUGUAACUGACGCUCAGACGCGAAAGCUAGGGUAGCAAACGGGAUUAGAUACCCCGGUAGA